rnacentral:lncRNA from 1 species
CAAGUGAACAGAAGAACAGAAAUCAAAAUUCUGACAACAUAACAGAAGGCAGAAGUCCUUGUCAGUCAUUCUCGGAGACCAUAGGGCAGAAUGCAAAGAACAUAACAUAGGAGUCAAACAGAGCUGAACACUUCAGUCACUCAUGUGGUGGCUGUGUGUCCUUGGGCUGUACAAGAAGCAUGGUAUCAGCAUCUGCUUCUGGUGAUGCCUCAGGCUGCUUCCACUCACGUUGGAAGGAAAAAGGGAGCCUGCGUGUGCAGAGAUCACACGGAGAAAGAGGAAGCAAGAGAGAACUUUCUAGCUGGAAAUCACGUAUGGAAGCUGAGUCACCUCCGUUUCUCCUGGAGCCUGAGCUGGCUGUCACCGAGACCUUGCUCAUUAUGCAGACUCAUUCACAUGCAUACCCAAAGCAGCACUUGAUGAUCGUGGAAGAUUUCCAUCCUCACAGGCCAUGAAAUGCGUCUGCACUGGAAUACUUGUUGUUUAUCACCUACGUUAGGAUUUACAACGGCCUAAGUGUUGUAUUUCUAGUGACUGUAUUCGGAAUCAAAAACUCCUGCCCUGAAGCAAGGACAACUUCUUUAUUCACAUGGAGAAUGAUAGCAGGUAAAGGGCAAAAAUUUAACAACAACAAAAAAUCCCUCUUUUUCUAUGUGCAGAAUAAAAAUCUUAUUAAAAUAAGA